AUUGAACGCUGGCGGCAGGCCUAACACAUGCAAGUCGCACGAGUGGCGGACGGGUGAGUAAUGUCUGGGAAACUGCCUGAUGGAGGGGUAUAACUACUGGCAACGGUAGCUAAUACCGCAUCCCAUCAGAUGUGCCCAGAUGGGAUUAGCUUGUUGGUGGGGUAACGGCGCACCAAGGCGACGAUCCCUCGCUGGGCUGAGAGGAGGACAAGCCGGACGGGAGCGGAGACGCGGGGCAAACUCCUACGAGAGGCAGAAGUGGGGAAUAUGGCGCAAUGGGAGCAAGCCGGAUGCAGCCAUGGCGGGUGUAUGACGAAGGCCUUGGGGUGGUAAAGAAGGUACAGCGGGGAGGGGUUACGCGCAGAAGAAGCACCGGCUAACUCCGUGCCAGCAGCCGCGGUAAUAC
rnacentral:rRNA from 1 species